AGCAGCCGCGGUAAUUCCAGCUCCAAUAGCGUAUAUUAAAGUUGUUGCAGUUAAAAAGCUCGUAGUUGAAUUUCGAGACCGGUUUACUGGUCGUGCUUUUGUACGUACUGGUAUUAUUGGUUUCUCCUUUCUGACGAACUAUAAUGCCAUUAAUUUGGUGUUAUGGGAAGUUAGGACUGUUACUUUGAAAAAAU
rnacentral:rRNA from 1 species